rnacentral:rRNA from 1 species
UGGGGAAUCUUCCGCAAUGGACGAAAGUCUGACGGAGCAACGCCGCGUGAGUGAAGAAGGUUUUCGGAUCGUAAAACUCUGUCUUUUGGGGCGAACGUGAGUAUGGUGAACAAUCAUAGUCAGUGACGGUACCAAAGGAGGAAGCCACGGCUAACUACGUGCCAGCAGCCGCGGUAAUACGUAGGUGGCAAGCGUUGUCCGGAAUUAUUGGGCGUAAAGAGCGCGUAGGCGGGAUAGUCAGUCUGUUGUAAAGUGCGGGGCUCAACCCCGUGAUGGCAAUGGAAACAGCUAUUCUUGAGUGCAGGAGAGGAAAGUGGAAUUCCCAGUGUAGCGGUGAAAUGCGUAGAUAUUGGGAGGAACACCAGUGGCGAAGGCGACUUUCUGGACUGUGUCUGACGCUGAGGCGCGAAAGCCAGGGGAGCGAACGGGAUUAGAUACCCCGGUAGUCCUGGCCGUAAACGAUGGGUACUAGGUGUGGGAGGUAUCGACCCCUUCCGUGCCGGAGUUAGCGCAAUAAGUACCCCGCCUGGGGAGUACGGUCGCAAGACUGAAACUCAAAGGAAUUGACGGGGUCAUAGCUGUUUCCUG